rnacentral:rRNA from 1 species
GACGAACGCUGGCGGCGUGCUUAACACAUGCAAGUCGAACGGUGAAAGCGGAGCUUGCUCCGCUGGAUCAGUGGCGAACGGGUGAGUAACACGUGGGCAACCUGCCCCUCACUUCGGGAUAACUCCGGGAAACCGGGGCUAAUACCGGAUAUGACCUCCUUGGGCAUCCUUGGAGGUGGAAAGUUUUUCGGUGAGGGAUGGGCCCGCGGCCUAUCAGCUUGUUGGUGAGGUAGUGGCCCACCAAGGCGACGACGGGUAGCCGGCCUGAGAGGGCGACCGGCCACACUGGGACUGAGACACGGCCCAGACUCCUACGGGAGGCAGCAGUGGGGAAUAUUGCGCAAUGGGCGGAAGCCUGACGCAGCAACGCCGCGUGCGGGAUGACGGCCUUCGGGUUGUAAACCGCUUUCAGCAGGGAAGAAGCCGCAAGGUGACGGUACCUGCAGAAGAAGCACCGGCUAACUACGUGCCAGCAGCCGCAGUAACAC